ensembl:snRNA U2 U2 spliceosomal RNA
AUCGCUUCUCGGCUUUUUGGAUAAGAUCAUGUGUAGUAUCUGUGCACAUAUAAUUCUAAUGUUUUUUUAUGCAUCCAAAUUUUCUCUUCCUAUUACAAUAGAUUGAAUGGAGUAUCCCAG